UACGAAGGGGGCUAGCGUUGCUCGGAAUCACUGGGCGUAAAGGGUGCGUAGGCGGGUCUUAAGUCAGGGGUGAAAUCCUGGAGCUCAACUCCAGAACUGCCUUUGAUACUGAAGAUCUUGAGUUCGGGAGAGGUGAGUGGAACUGCGAGUGUAGAGGUGAAAUUCGUAGAUAUUCGCAAGAACACCAGUGGCGAAGGCGGCUCACUGGCCCGAUACUGACGCUGAGGCACGAAAGCGUGGGGGAGCAAACAGG
rnacentral:rRNA from 1 species